UUGACCCUACGGGAGGCAGCAGUGAGGAAUAUUGGUCAAUGGGCGGGAGCCUGAACCAGCCAAGCCGCGUGAGGGAAGAAGGCACAGCGUAUCGUAAACCUCUUUUGUCAGGGAACAAAGGCGGGGACUAGUCCCCGGAUGAGGGUACCUGAAGAAAAAGCAUCGGCUAACUCCGUGCCAGCAGCCGCGGUAAUACGGAGGAUGCGAGCGUUAUCCGGAUUUAUUGGGUUUAAAGGGUGCGCAGGCGGCCUGUUACGUCAGCGGUAAACGCCCGGGGCACAACCCCG
rnacentral:rRNA from 1 species